UACGUAGGGUGCGAGCGUUGUCCGGAAUUACUGGGCGUAAAGAGCUCGUAGGUGGUUUGUCGCGUUGUUCGUGAAAACUCACAGCUUAACUGUGGGCGUGCGGGCGAUACGGGCAGACUUGAGUACUGCAGGGGAGACUGGAAUUCCUGGUGUAGCGGUGGAAUGCGCAGAUAUCAGGAGGAACACCGGUGGCGAAGGCGGGUCUCUGGGCAAUAACUGACGCUGAGGAGCGAAAGCGUGGGGAGCGAACAGG
rnacentral:rRNA from 1 species